rfam:Gossypium arboreum cultivar AKA8401 contig_84568_3, whole genome shotgun sequence.
GAGUGGUAACGAGGGCAUGUUCUUAAAAGGUCAUUGUAUCUCUCCCAUGCAUCAUAGAGUGUUUCUAAAUCCGUCUGCACAAAAGAAGAGAUAUCAUUACGUAAUUU